AGUGAGAGAGCGCUCUCAGGCUCAGCUCCUCCCAUUAAUUAUUUGUAAGUUAAAUAUAGUAGAAUGUUGAGUUGAGGUUUUGAUGGGAUAAGGAAGGAAAUUCAUCAGUCCAAACAAGGUGGUAUAUUUGGGCUGAUCUUUGCUGCUGAAUCAUUGGUUCAUCAACAUAUUAUACACAUACAAGGAUAUAUACAUAUGUUGUUGCAUCAAUGAUGCAGGAGCUGAGUUCAGUUUUGGCUACCUUUUCUUGGACUGAAGGGUUUCCUUCUCAACCCCAACCAUGCAUCAUGCUUGUUAUCUCAGUUACUAUUGCUGCUGCCACAUAUAAGGAUCAUUGACCGACAAAUACAAAUUAACGAGUUCGCCUCUAAUACAGACACUUUUUGAUCGCUAUAGAUCAAAGAAAUCCUCUCUAAAAACACACGUCAAAAUGGACACUUCGCCCAUAUUAGGCGAACUAUCAUUAAAAUUUUUGUGAUGUAUGUUGUGUUUUGGAGUGAAUUAACAAAAGUUGACUUUGUUUAUUAGUCUGUAUUUUUAGGACAAUCCCUUUCAUCGGUAGCGUCUCAAAAGUGUUUGUUUUGAGAUCAGACUCCAAAUAACACUUACUUGUAUUUUUAAAAACUCAGAUCAUCUCUAAUCUACCUCUAUUUUACUCUUUGUUAUAUAUAGUUGAAAA